rnacentral:lncRNA from 1 species
AGCCUGUCUACUAUUUCGUUACCCCUAAUGCCUGCGUGUCCCUUUAUCCAUGAUAUAAUGAUGUUUUUUCCUAAAUUUACAAUUUUAUUAUAAAAGUUAUAAUUUCCAGUUCUAUAUGAUUGAGUUGUUGGGAUUUAUGUACGUUAGGUAGUCUAUCAACGACACUCUUACUGUCUGUAAAUAUUGUGCAGCUCUAGGGUUCGUUACUAAAUAUGUGUCUUAAAGC